GACGAACGCUGGCGGCGUGCCUAAUACAUGCAAGUUGAGCGAUGAAGAUUGGUGCUUGCACCAAUUUGAAGAGCAGCGAACGGGUGAGUAACGCGUGGGGAAUCUGCCUUUGAGCGGGGGACAACAUUUGGAAACGAAUGCUAAUACCGCAUAACAACUUUAAACAUAAGUUUUAAGUUUGAAAGAUGCAAUUGCAUCACUCAAAGAUGAUCCCGCGUUGUAUUAGCUAGUUGGUGAGGUAAAGGCUCACCAAGGCGAUGAUACAUAGCCGACCUGAGAGGGUGAUCGGCCACAUUGGGACUGAGACACGGCCCAAACUCCUACGGGAGGCAGCAGUAGGGAAUCUUCGGCAAUGGACGAAAGUCUGACCGAGCUACGCCGCGUGAGUGAAGAAGGUCUUCGGAUCGUAAAACUCUGUUGGUAGAGAAGAACGUUGGUGAGAGUGGAAAGCUCAUCAAGUGACGGUAACUACCCAGAAAGGGACGGCUAACUACGUG
rnacentral:rRNA from 1 species